UGGGGAAUCUUGCGCAAUGGGCGAAAGCCUGACGCAGCGACGCCGCGUGAGUGAUGAAGGCCUUCGGGUUGUAAAGCUCUGUGGAGGGGGACGAAUAAGGGUUGGCUAACAUCCAGCUCGAUGACGGUACCCCUUUAGCAAGCACCGGCUAACUCUGUGCCAGCAGCCGCGGUAAGACAGAGGGUGCAAACGUUGUUCGGAAUUACUGGGCGUAAAGCGCGUGUAGGCGGUUCGUAAAGUCGGAUGUGAAAGCCCUGGGCUUAACCCAGGAAGCGCAUUCGAAACUCACGAACUUGAGUCCCGGAGAGGAAGGCGGAAUUGACAGA
rnacentral:rRNA from 1 species